CACGGUACAGUGAGGCAUCAAGCUUAAGGAGCUGAGAGCGAGAAAGCUAAUAUCUGGGCAUUUGCUUUCUGUAGCACACUGUAGCUCCUAAGCGCUUCUCAGGAUAAGCUUCAGGAAUUGUUUCUUCUGGAAAGUGCAGUCCUUCACACGUUGUGGCCGUGGUGAAAAUGUUUACAACAGCCUCCUCUAGCACCACUUUCAGUAGUAACAGCUGAAAGCCUUGACAGAGUUCUGAAGAUCAUAUUCCCAAAGACGAGGAAGUGAAAGGACAGACCACUUCCUUCUUAUGGAGACUGGCAGACUCGAUCCUAGGAACUGAGCUUCACUUUUAAUGAGCAUAACUCCUAUACAGAUGUGCCUCCCUCAUGAAGGCUAAGGCAAGCCCACACAAUCAUCUGCCUUCAACAAUCUCCCGAGUUCUACAAACAACUUUUCAAUAAGCCAUAUUAAGAGAGGCCUGAGGUGGUAGGGAAAGAGGGGUUGAAUUACAUAGGUCUUUUAGGUUCAUGGCCUAGCUUUCUCCCAUUAGAAUGUGAAGUGCUUGACAGCAGGAAGUGUUUUGGUUUUGCCUUUAUUUCAUCCCACACCUGGCGUAGUACCUUGAACCAAGCAGGACUUAAUAAGUAUAAUCCCCCUUCUGCCCAAGCUUCAGGCAGUAUUUCUGAGGCACAGUCCUGUGAUGCUAUACUAUAUCCCCCGAAGGAGAUGUGACUGAGGGACCCCUCUGAGCCAGGGUGCUAGGUAUGGGGCUGAUAACUUCAGAGGACUUUGAAAGAAGUAUUUGAGAGAAACAAGGAGAUCUCCCUGGAGCUGCAGACAUGGGGAAUACAACACCCAGUGUACCCUCGAUUACCAUAGGAGAGACUGUCUUGUCUUGGAAGUCCUGGAUCCUACUUAUCCCAUCCCAGUAAACUCCUGGAAGGUGCCCCCAUACUCCUGAAGUUCAGCGUUUCUCAUCAUUUCAACAUUAACAGCUCAACGUGGCACUGUUGCCCACUUGACUCCCACUCAGCCAGAAAUUCAGGUUUGUGGGCAGCUAAAGGCUAGACCCCUUAGGUCUGGCUGGGCUAUGACAGAUGAAUGUACCACGUCACACAGAUCACCAAACCUCAGCAUGUUAUCUGAAGAGAAGUUAAGUUCGUUGUAGAUAUACCCUUAACCUUUGAAGAAUAAUGACCAUUCUUUCUCACAAAGUGUUCCUUGGUGCCAUCUAAAAUGGAAUCUUGGGCUGAAAGGACCAGAGAUUUGUUCUGAUUUUACAAUCCUAUUCAAGACCAUUUUUUUUUAAAGGAUAACCUCUUUGCUGGAGCUGUUUUCUGUAUUUGUGGGGUUGAAUGUAGGUGUAUGACAUUCUGAGCAAGGCUUUUUAAAUCCGUGUAGAAUUACCAGUCUUCCCAGACCUGCUUGGAUAAUUACUUUUCUCCCUCCUUUGUGUGAAAUGCUAGAAUAAAUAAGAAAAAAAUCAAUAAGUGUGGCGAGAGUAUGAGUUUGGUUUAGCUCAGGGCCAGGCAGACAUAUGUGAGAUGACAUUUUUAUGAAGACUUCAAUCUACAUUUGCUGGUUGGAGCAGUGAGUGAUUGCUUUAAUGGGCUUGGCAUUGGGAUUUUGACUCCCACAUUCUCUGUGGGGAAGGAGAACAGCUAGGCCCUCUGGAGCCUGGGUGGAGGUGUGGGGAAUAGCAACCAUCUGCUCUAUUUUAUCCAGGUUGGGUUUCCCAAACUUAGGCCACCUGACUGAAAGGCAUUUUUAUUGGCCUUAGUUUAUACCCAUAACCAACUUGGAUGAAUUCUAA